UUUGGGAAGAGAAACUAGGGAGGGAAGGGCCUCCCUUAGGCCCCGUCAGGGAAUGGAUGAGGUGAGGGCUGAAGUUUUGCACUGAAGCUGACAAAGGUGUCCCUGAAGUGCCAGAGAUGGGAGGCCUCCUGCCUCGCCCAGCUCCUUCCUGAGCUCCCUGCAGCUCCUCUUUCAGCACAAGCCAGCCCACAAAGGUCAAAGGCGGAAUCUUACCCACUGGACCACCACUGGAUUCUUACCCAAUAUCAGACCACUGGACCAGUAUUGUUACAUCUUUGCCAUAUUUGCUUUACCUUUGUGGACAGAGGCUCGAAUGGACACAGGUGAGACCUCCGGCAGGUCCGUUCCCAGGGUAGCGUAUCCUGCAUCUCCUUGUUGCAGGCCGGCCAACUACCCAGUGUUACUGGUGCUGCUUCCUCGCCUGGUGAAAACAGUGACUGUCUUCUUCCCUAAAACCCUUUCCCCCAGUGGUUUUAGCAUCACUGAUGAUCCUUGCCUGGAUCAUUUAUUUUAUUAGCAGUGGCAAGGUGAUAAUGUGCCUCUGUCUCUCAUUCUGUCUACAUAUAUGACCGGCAUUCUUCUUUAAAGAGGAAGAACUUUUCUUCCUUGCUGCCCCACCCGGCCCAACCCUGUCUCACCUUAGGACUCACAGAUUAUUUCUUAUUCAAUAUGUUGGUAUUUCAAUAAGGUCGUUCUUUCAGAUACUCAAAUUGAUUCAGAUGAACAGGUCCAGUUCAAAUUAACAUGGGGGUUUUCUUACCUUCUUUUAUUUUACACUCACAUCUUUUUUUUUUUUUUCCUCUUAGGGUGAAAAUCUUGGUUCUUGUAAGAUGAAUAUAUUUAUUUAGUCAUUUGCAUUAUCU